rnacentral:lncRNA from 10 species
UGUGCUGCUUGGAGCAUCUUCUGCUAUCUUGUAUCCAUUCAGAAGCUGCGUUGAAGAUGGCACAGCAGAAUGAUGCUCCCUGAGAAGAGGAUCUUCAAUUCAUUUAUGCCUCCCGGAGCUCCUGGAACAGCACUGCCUUACAGAUAGCAGUGUGUUAUCCAGGGCUGACACCAGAACCAUUUACAGCAAGGCUGCCUCUGUCCUCACAAUAUUACUUUUGAGGAAGAAAUCAGAAGAAAAAUGGAAGACAAAAAGAGACAGAACUCUUUGCAGUAGGGGCAUCUUUUUAAGGAAGCUCAGAAUAGCCCUCCAGAACCAUUUACCCAGACCUCUUCAAUGUUCAAACAUGAGCCUGUGAAGCUCCCAGUUCCUCCUUUUCUCAAUUAAGCUAUAAUUAGCAGAAUAGUUGUUCUUAGAUACUUUGGUGACCUUGGAAAUAUAAGAUAUUCCAGAAAUAGA